rnacentral:rRNA from 1 species
GCCCGUCACACCAUGGGNAGUGGGUUGCAAAAGAAGUAGGUAGCUUAACCUUCGGGAGGGCGCUCGCAACGCGAAGAACCUUACCUACUCUUGACAUCCAGAGAACUUUCCAGAGAUGGAUUGGUGCCUUCGGGAACUCUGAGACAGGUGCUGCAUGGCUGUCGUCAGCUCGUGUUGUGAAAUGUUGGGUUAAGUCCCGCAACGAGCGCAACCCUUAUCCUUUGUUGCCAGCGGUUCGGCCGGGAACUCAAAGGAGACUGCCAGUGAUAAACUGGAGGAAGGUGGGGAUGACGUCAAGUCAUCAUGGCCCUUACGAGUAGGGCUACACACGUGCUACAAUGGCAUAUACAAAGAGAAGCGACCUCGCGAGAGCAAGCGGACCUCAUAAAGUAUGUCGUAGUCCGGAUUGGAGUCUGCAACUCGACUCCAUGAAGUCGGAAUCGCUAGUAAUCGUAGAUCAGAAUGCUACGGUGAAUACGUUCCCGGGCCUUGUACACACCGCCCGUCACACCAUGGGNAGUGGGUUGCAAAAGAAGUAGGUAGCUUAACCUUCGGGAGGGCGCU